GGAUGUGAGGGCGAUCUGGCUGCGACAUCUGUCACCCCAUUGAUCGCCAGGGUUGAUUCGGCUGAUCUGGCUGGCUAGGCAGGUGUCCCCCUCCUCCCUCACCGAUCCAUGUGCGUCCCUCCCGAAGCUGCGCGCUCGGUCGAAGAGGACGACCUUCCCCGCCCCCCAGGAGAGGCCCGGUCUUCGGUCAAGGGUAUAUGAGUAGCUGCGCUCCCCUGCUAGAACCUCCAAACAAGCUCUCAAGAAACUAUGGCGCAGAAAGGUUAACCUACUUCCUCAAGGACACAAAACAGGU
rnacentral:snRNA from 1 species